rnacentral:rRNA from 1 species
UACGUAGGGCGCGAGCGUUGUCCGGAAUUAUUGGGCGUAAAGAGCUCGUAGGUGGCCUGUUGCGUCUGCCGUGAAAGCCCGUGGCUUAACUACGGGUCUGCGGUGGAUACGGGCAGGCUAGAGGCUGGUAGGGGCAAGCGGAAUUCCUGGUGUAGCGGUGAAAUGCGCAGAUAUCAGGAGGAACACCGGCGGCGAAGGCGGCUUGCUGGGCCAGUACUGACGCUGAGGAGCGAAAGCGUGGGGAGCAAACAGG